rnacentral:rRNA from 1 species
AUGUUGCUACGUCUACAUCUGUAUAAUUACUUUGGUUGUAAGCAUCAUGACAUAUACGGUGUUCUUAUUGUAAUGUUUGCAUUCUCCCCCCUUUUCAAUUCCUUUGUGAUGAACUGCUGGGAUUUACCUUGCAUGCGUAAGUUAAUAUCUUGUAUAUUUGCAAAUCAAGAAAUCAUGUCUAGCAGCCUUUAUUGCAGUUAUAUAGACCGUUGGAUGGCACCUAAAUCCAUCUGUGUUUAUUUGUCCGUCUCAUCUAUGCACACGACCCAACUGGACUCAAUUAGCAGUGUAACUCAGUCCUGUCUAAGUUUCUGUUUGACCCACGAUGUCCCUUUUUUUGAUCAAACUGCAAGAUAA